ACGGGGGGUGCAAGCGUUGUUCGGAAUUACUGGGCGUAAAGCGCGUGUAGGCGGUUUGUUAAGUCUGAUGUGAAAGCCCCGGGCUCAACCUGGGAAGUGCAUUGGAAACUGGCAAACUUGAAUACGGGAGAGGGUGAUGGAAUUCCUGGUGUAGGAGUGAAAUCCGUAGAUAUCAGGAGGAACACCGGUGGCGAAGGCGGCUUGCUGGACCAUUAUUGACGCUGAGACGCGAAAGCGUGGGGAGCAAACAG
rnacentral:rRNA from 1 species